rnacentral:rRNA from 1 species
AGAAAAAAAACCAGUAAAGAAAUGGG